rfam:Aedes albopictus isolate Foshan contig33251, whole genome shotgun sequence.
UGCCCAGCAACUCCUAUCCCUACCUCCACGCGGUACCGGCCGCAAACUAUGAGCAACCUUAGGGAAGA